AGGUGGGUGGUUAAGUGGUUAGAUGGGUGGUUAGUGGUCAUUAGGUGAGUGGUUAGAUGGGUGGUUAGUGGUCAUUAGGUGGGUGAUUAGGUAGGUAGGUGGUUAGUGGUCAUUAGGUGGAUGGUUAGGUGGGUGGUUAGUAGUGGUUAGAGGUGGUUAGGUGGGCAGUUAGGUAGUUAGGUGGGUGGUUAGUUGUGGUUGGGUGGUUAGGUGACUAGGUGGGUGGCAGAGUGGUUAGGUGGGUGGUUAGGUGACCAGGUGGGUGGCAGGGUGGUUAGGUGGGUGGUUAGUGGUGGUUAGGUGGACGGUCAGGUAGUUAGGUGGGCAGUUAGUGGUGGUUAAGUGGUUAAGUGGGUGAUUAGUGGUGGUUAGUGUUGGUUAGGUGGGUGGUUAGUGGUGGUUAGGUGGGUGGUUAGUGGUGGUUAGGUGGAUGGUUAGUGGUAGGUGGGUGGUUAGUGGUUGUUUGGCGGGUGGUUAGUGGUGGUUAGGCAGGUGGUUAGUGGUGGUUAGGUGGGUGGUUAGUGGUGGUUAGGUGGAUGCACACAUGGAAAAAUCAAGCUGUAGUCUUCAGAUGUGUGCCCUUCAUGUAGGUUAUGACUCCCUUAAAAGGCUUUUUUAAAUAAUAAAGCACCCUGCAUCCCUUUCUUUCUGAGGGAGUGACCCCCCGGCUGAAGGCCAGGGGUCUUAGAGCUUCCGGUGGCUGCAGUGGCCCAGCCAGCUGCACACUCCAUGUCAACAUUUACGUUCCCCAGGGCCUAGUGUAAGAUGCGGCUUCAUCAGCCCAGCAUGGAAGCCAGAUGGGCCUGGCAGGAAUGUAAACGCUCACCGCACUGCAGACCCGGCUCUGGUGCCCUGCUCUGCCAACUGUUCACUGGUGCCCUUGGGCCAGUCGCUACCAGGAGCCUCACUGGCCAGCAGGAGAAGGAACAGAGGCGAUGCUUCUGAAGAUGCUUUACAGCCAUGGUGGAAAUGGGGGCCCUGUCUGUCUUUGAGUCCUUGAGCAGGAGAGGGGCUAGUGGAGAGUGAGAAGUAGUGAAGGCUUGAAGCUGAAAUUAAGGGGCCCUGAGCUACCCAAAUUCUCAGGUAAGUCACCUCACAUUUCUCCUGCUCUCCCUCCACUUCCUUGCUUUACAUGAAAACCAUCUCUUCCCUCUUCCUCUCCCCUCCGCUCCCUUCCUCCCCUUCUUUUCUCUCCCCUCCCCUGCCCUCUUUCCCUUCUCUUCCCUUCCCUCCCUUCUCCUUCCUUCCCUCCUCCCAUCCUCCCCCCUCCCUCCCCCCUUCCUCCCAUCCUUCCCCUCCC
rnacentral:lncRNA from 10 species